rnacentral:rRNA from 1 species
AUCGGCAGCUAUACAUGCAAGUCGUACGCUUCUUUUUCCACCGGAGCUUGCUCCACCGGAAAAAGAAGAGUGGCGAACGGGUGAGUAACACGUGGGUAACCUGCCCAUCAGAAGGGGAUAACACUUGGAAACAGGUGCUAAUACCGUAUAACAAUCGAAACCGCAUGGUUUUGAUUUGAAAGGCGCUUUCGGGUGUCGCUGAUGGAUGGACCCGCGGUGCAUUAGCUAGUUGGUGAGGUAACGGCUCACCAAGGCCACGAUGCAUAGCCGACCUGAGAGGGUGAUCGGCCACAUUGGGACUGAGACACGGCCCAAACUCCUACGGGAGGCAGCAGUAGGGAAUCUUCGGCAAUGGACGAAAGUCUGACCGAGCAACGCCGCGUGAGUGAAGAAGGUUUUCGGAUCGUAAAACUCUGUUGUUAGAGAAGAACAAGGAUGAGAGUAACUGUUCAUCCCUUGACGGUAUCUAACCAGAAAGCCACGGCUAACUACGUGCCAGCAGCCGCGGUAAUACGUAGGUGGCAAGCGUUGUCCGGAUUUAUUGGGCGUAAAGCGAGCGCAGGCGGUUUCUUAAGUCUGAUGUGAAAGCCCCCGGCUCAACCGGGGAGGGUCAUUGGAAACUGGGAGACUUGAGUGCAGAAGAGGAGAGUGGAAUUCCAUGUGUAGCGGUGAAAUGCGUAGAUAUAUGGAGGAACACCAGUGGCGAAGGCGGCUCUCUGGUCUGUAACUGACGCUGAGGCUCGAAAGCGUGGGGAGCAAACAGGAUUAGAUACCCUGGUAGUCCACGCCGUAAACGAUGAGUGCUAAGUGUUGGAGGGUUUCCGCCCUUUCAGUGCUGCAGCUAACGCAUUAAGCACUCCGCCUGGGGAGUACGACCCGCAAGGUUGAACCGAAAGUGCGGGGGGA